CAUCGCGCCCUCCGACGACGCCCGCCGCCUCACUGUUAUGAGCCUUCAGGAAUCGGGAUUAAAAGUUAACCAGCCAGCAUCCUUUGCUAUAAGGUUGAAUGGCGCAAAAGGCAAGAUUGAUGCAAAGGUGCACAGCCCCUCUGGAGCCGUGGAGGAGUGCCACGUGUCUGAGCUGGAGCCAGAUAAGUAUGCUGUUCGCUUCAUUCCUCAUGAGAAUGGUGUCCACACCAUCGAUGUCAAGUUCAAUGGGAGCCACGUGGUUGGAAGCCCCUUCAAAGUGCGCGUUGGGGAGCCUGGACAAGCGGGCAACCCUGCCCUGGUGUCCGCCUAUGGCACGGGACUCGAAGGGGGCAUCACAGGUAACCCACUUCUCUGCUUCUUGAAGCCUUAACUGAACCAGCUCCAGGGACCAAGCCAGAUGGAAAUCCUCAAGCCCCAUGGAAGCUUUUUACACACGCUCCCCAUGGAAACUGGGGUCAUGCACACUUCGGAGGCGCUUGCUCUCCAAAGCUGUUUUGGGAGUUGCGGUUUGACCCGCGAU
rnacentral:sRNA from 1 species